AACGCUAGCGGCAGCUUAACACAUGCAAGUCGAGGGGUAUGCUUCUUCGGAAGCAGAGACCGGCGCACGGGUGCGUAACGCGUAUGCAAUCUACCUUUUACAGAGGGAUAGCCCAGAGAAAUUUGGAUUAAUACCUCAUAGUAUAACAUGACCGCAUGGUCGAGUUAUUAAAGUCACAACGGUAAAAGAUGAGCAUGCGUCCCAUUAGCUAGUUGGUAAGGUAACGGCUUACCAAGGCUACGAUGGGUAGGGGUCCUGAGAGGGAGAUCCCCCACACUGGUACUGAGACACGGACCAGACUCCUACGGGAGGCAGCAGUGAGGAAUAUUGGACAAUGGGCGCAAGCCUGAUCCAGCCAUGCCGCGUGCAGGAUGACGGUCCUAUGGAUUGUAAACUGCUUUUAUACGAGAAGAAACACUCCGACGUGUCGGAGCUUGACGGUAUCGUAAGAAUAAGGAUCGGCUAACUCCGUGCCAGCAGCCGCGGUAAUACGGAGGAUCCAAGCGUUAUCCGGAAUCAUUGGGUUUAAAGGGUCCGUAGGCGGUUUAAUAAGUCAGUGGUGAAAGCCCAUCGCUCAACGGUGGAACGGCCAUUGAUACUGUUAGACUUGAAUUAUUAGGAAGUAACUAGAAUAUGUAGUGUAGCGGUGAAAUGCUUAGAGAUUACAUGGAAUACCAAUUGCGAAGGCAGGUUACUACUAAUGGAUUGACGCUGAUGGACGAAAGCGUGGGUAGCGAACAGGAUUAGAUACCCUGGUAGUCCACGCCGUAAACGAUGGAUACUAGCUGUUGGAAGCAAUUUCAGUGGCUAAGCGAAAGUGAUAAGUAUCCCACCUGGGGAGUACGUUCGCAGA
rnacentral:rRNA from 1 species